UACGUAGGGGGCAAGCGUUUGUCCGGAAUUAUUGGGCGUAAAGAGCUUGUAGGCGGUUUGUCGCGUCUGCUGUGAAAUUUCGGGGCUCAACCCCGAACUUGCAGUGGGUACGGGCAGACUAGAGUGUGGUAGGGGGAGACUGGAAUUCCUGGUGUAGCGGUGAAAUGCGCAGAUAUCAGGAGGAACACCGAUGGCGAAGGCAGGUCUCUGGGCCACUACUGACGUGAGAAGCGAAAGCAUGGGGGAGCGAACAGG
rnacentral:rRNA from 1 species